GAGUGAAGCGGCAACAGCUCAAAUUUGAAAUCUGGCGCCUUGUGCGCCCGAGUUGUAAUUUGUAGAGGAUGUUUCGGGUGCGGCACCGAUCUAAGUUCCUUGGAACAGGGCGUCAUAGAGGGUGAGAAUCCCGUAUGUGACCGGUCGCCUAUCCCAUGUGAAACUCCUUCGACGAGUCGAGUUGUUUGGGAAUGCAGCUCAAAAUGGGUGGUAUAUUUCAUCUAAAGCUAAAUAUUGGCCAGAGACCGAUAGCGCACAAGUAGAGUGAUCGAAAGAUGAAAAGCACUUUGGAAAGAGAGUUAAAAAGUACGUGAAAUUGUUGAAAGGGAAGCGCUUGCGACCAGACUCGCCCGGGGGUGAUCAACCGUCCUUUUGGGCGGUGCACUUUCCCUCGGGCGGGCCAGCAUCGGUUCGGGCGGCUGGAUAAAGGCUUCGGGAAUGUAGCUCCUCUCGGGGAGUGUUAUAGCCCGGGGUGCAAUGCAGCCAGUCUGGACCGAGGACCGCGCUUUUGCUAGGAUGCUGGCGUAAUGGUCGUCAGCGACCCGUCUUGAAACACGGACCAAGGAGUUAACCACCGGUGCGAGUGUUUGGGUGUCAAACCCGUACGCGUAAUGAAAGUGAACGGAGGUGAGAACCCCUUUCGGGGCGCAUCAUCGACCGAUCCUGAUGUCUUCGGAUGGAUUUGAGUAAGAGCACCGUUGGUUUGACCCGAAAGAUGGUGAUCUUUACGCGGAUAGGGUGAAGCCAGAGGAAACU
rnacentral:rRNA from 1 species